UUUUUCUGCAGCCUGAGCCAAAGGUUUCACAUGGAGACUGAAAAAGAGAGAUGAUAUGGGCAGUAUGUGCAAUCAAGGAUUUGUGCUCAUGAAGCUCGGACUAAUAGGAUGACUCCACCGGAAGAGAAGAGCUACAUCACCACAGCCUCACUCAGUACCCUCAACCCUGCAAACUAAAGAGAGAUACAUAGGGGAUUGAGGGGUGUCAUAUUCCCCGCUGCUGCCUGAAGAUCAAUAUGUAAAACACUCAGCUCCUUCUCCAGUAUCAUAUCUACCUGCAUUCCACCUUGCUUCUUACCAUGGCGAUAAUAGACUAAACUACUGAAACUGUGCCAGUGGAGGCCAGAAGAAAGCAUUGGAUCCCCUUGAACGGGAGUCAUAGGAAAUUGUAAGCCACAUGAUAUGGUUUCAGGAAUCGAACUUUGCUCUUCUGGAAGAACAGCAAUAUCUCUUAACUACCAAACCAUCUCUCCAGCUGUAUGAUUGCUAGAUUUGUGGUGAUAUAUGAUAUGAGUAACAGAGGAAUGUGUAAAACACAUAUGUCAAUGGGAAACCUGAUAAAUUCAAUCAUGAUAUGUCCCUGUACACUCCAUGGAACUCACUGUUUCUAAGAACAGAAAUACCUGAAGGCUGAGUUUCACCAUGUAGCUAUGACUGUCCUGAAACUCACAAACCACAGAGACAGGCCUGCACCUGGCGUUUGAAGGCAUGCAGGAGUGUGUCCUGCUAGAAUCUACCUAUUCCUAAAUGUGGUUAUCUGAAGUAUGGUAUUAAAAUAGCCUGAGAAACAAGCCUAGAAAAAGACAACUGUUCCUUUCCUGAAUAGUUGCUGCAUCAAAAGAUCCAUAAUUUAUCAGGCCCUAUUGGAAUCCUGC
rnacentral:lncRNA from 1 species